CUACGUGCCAGCAGCCGCGGUAAUACGUAGGGUGCGAGCGUUAAUCGGAAUUACUGGGCGUAAAGCGGGCGCAGACGGUUACUUAAGCAGGAUGUGAAAUCCCCGGGCUCAACCUGGGAACUGCGUUCUGAACUGGGUGACUAGAGUGUGUCAGAGGGAGGUAGAAUUCCACGUGUAGCAGUGAAAUGCGUAGAGAUGUGGAGGAAUACCGAUGGCGAAGGCAGCCUCCUGGGAUAACACUGACGUUCAUGCCCGAAAGCGUGGGUAGCAAACAGGAUUAGAUACCCUGGUAGUCCACGCUGUAAACGAUGUCGAUUUGGGGGUUGAGCUUUAAGCUUGGCGCCCGUAGCUAACGUGAUAAAUCGACCGCCUGGGGAGUACGGCCGCAAGGUUAAAACUCAAAUGAAUUGACGGGGGCCCGCACAAGCGGUGGAGCAUGUGGUUUAAUUCGAUGCAACGCGAAGAACCUUACCUACUCUUGACAUCCAGAGAACAUUC
rnacentral:rRNA from 1 species